rnacentral:rRNA from 1 species
GACGUAGGGUCCGAGCGUUGUCCGGAGUUACUGGGCGUAAAGGGCGCGUAGGUGGUGGCUUAAGCGUGCGGUGAAAGCUCGGGGCUCAACUCCGAGUCGGCCGUGCGAACUGGGCUCACUGGAGCAUAGUAGAGGCAGGUGGAAUUCCGGGUGUAGCGGUGGAAUGCGUAGAGAUCCGGAAGAACACCGGUGGCGAAGGCGGCCUGCUGGGCUAUGGCUGACACUGAGGCGCGACAGCGUGGGGAGCAAACAGG